GAUGAAGAACGUAGCGAAAUGCGAUAAGUAGUGUGAAUUGCAGAAUUCAGUGAAUCAUCGAAUCUUUGAACGCACAUUGCGCCCCAUGGUAUUCCGUGGGGCAUGCCUGUUCGAGCGUCAUUUACGCCCUCAAGCUCCGCUUGGUGUUGGGCGUCUGUCCCGCUUCGCGCGCGGACUCGCCCCAAAGGUAUUGGCAGCGGUCGUGCCAGCUUCUCGCGCAGCACAUUGCGCUUCUCGAGGCACCGGUGGGCCCGCGUCCAUCAAGCUCACCCCCCCAGUUUGACCUCGGAUCAGGUAGGGAUACCCGCUGAACUUAAGCAUAUCAAUAAGCGGAGGA
rnacentral:misc_RNA from 1 species